CCCUUAGAUGUUCCGGGCCGCACGCGCGCUACACUGACGAAUGCAACGAGCUUAUAACCUUGGCCGAAAGGUCUGGGUAAUCUCCAAAUUUCGUCGUGAUGGGGAUAGAUUAUUGCAAUUAUUAAUCUUCAACGAGGAAUGCCUAGUAAGCGCAAGUCAUCAGCUUGCGUUGAUUACGUCCCUGCCCUUUGUACACACCGCCCGUCGCUCCUACCGAUUGAAUGGUCCGGUGAAGCGUUCGGACCGUGGCCUUUGGACGGUUCGCCGUCUGUUGGCUGCGGGAAGUUCGUUAAACCUUAUCAUUUAGAGGAAGGAGAAGUCGUAACA
rnacentral:rRNA from 1 species